ACUACGGGAGGCAGCAGUGGGGAAUAUUGCACAAUGGGCGAAAGCCUGAUGCAGCAACGCCGCGUGAAGGAAGAAGGGUUUCGGCUCGUAAACUUCUAUCAACAGGGACGAAAGAAAUGACGGUACCUGUAUAAGAAGCCCCGGCUAACUACGUGCCAGCAGCCGCGGUAAUACGUAGGGGGCAAGCGUUAUCCGGAAUUACUGGGUGUAAAGGGUGAGUAGGCGGCAUGGUAAGCCAGAUGUGAAAGCCUUGGGCUUAACCCGAGGAUUGCAUUUGGAACUAUCAAGCUAGAGUACAGGAGAGGAAAGCGGAAUUCCUAGUGUAGCGGUGAAAGGCGUAGAUAUUAGGAAGAACACCAGUGGCGAAGGCGGCUUUCUGGACUGAAACUGACGCUGAGGCACGAAAGCGUGGGGAGCGAACAGGAUUAGAUACCCCAGUAGUC
rnacentral:rRNA from 1 species